rnacentral:rRNA from 1 species
UACGUAGGAGGCAAGCGUUGUCCGGAAUUACUGGGCGUAAAGCGCGUGUAGGCGGCUCGGUAAGUCCGCUGUAAAAGUCCAGGGCUCAACCCUGGAAAGCCGGUGGAAACUGUCGAGCUAGAGUCCGGAAGAGGCGAGUGGAAUUCCUGGUGUAGCGGUGAAAUGCGCAGAUAUCAGGAGGAACACCAAUGGCGAAGGCAGCUCGCUGGGACGGUACUGGCGCUGAGACGCGAAAGCGUGGGGAGCAAACAGGAUUAGAAACCCCGGU